rnacentral:rRNA from 1 species
UUCCGGUUGAUCCUGCCGGAGGCGACCGCUUUUGGAGUUCGAUUAAGCCAUGCGAGUAGAAUGAAUUAGAUCAUUGCAAACUGCUCAGUAACACGUGGAUAACCUGCCCUAUGCUCUGGGAUAACCUCGGGAAACUGAGAAGAAUACCGGAUAGACCACAACGCCUGGAACGGUGUGUGGUUGAAAGGCAACGGCAUAGGAUGGGUCUGCGGCGUAUCAGGUCGUAGGGGGUGUAACGGACCUCCUAGCCAUCGACGCGUACGGGUUGUGGGAGCAAUAGCCCGGAGAUGGAUUCUGAGACACGAAUCCAGACCCUACGGGGUGCAGCAGGCGCGAAAACUUCACACUGCAGGAAACUGUGAUGAGGGAACUCCAAGUGACUGCACAUUGUGUAGCCUUUUCUUUACUAUUAAUCGGUAUUGGAAUAAGGGCUGGGAAAGACCGGUGCCAGCCGCCGCGGUAAUACCGGCAGCUCAAGUGGUCGUCGCUUUUAUUGGGCCUAAAACGUCCGUAGCCUGUUUGGUAAAUCUGUGGGUAAAUCAACCAGCUUAACUGGUUGAAUUCUGCAGAGACUGCCAGACUAGGGACCGGGAGAGGUGUGGGGUACUCUAGGGGUAGGGGUAAAAUCCUGUCAUCCUUAGAGGACCACCAGUUGCGAAGGCGCCACACUGGAACGGAUCCGACGGUCAGGGACGAAGCCUAGGGGCACGAACCGGAUUAGAUACCCGGGUAGUCCUAGGUGUAAACGCUGUGAACUUGGUGUCGGGAGUCCGCAAUGGGCCCCCGGUGCCGGAGUGAAGAUGUUAAGUUCACUGCCUGGGGAGUACGGUCGCAAGGCUGAAACUUAAAGGAAUUGGCGGGGGAGCACUGCAACGGGAGGAGCGUGCGGUUUAAUUGGAUUCAACGCCGGGAAGG